UUAGCCGGUGCUUCUUCUGCGGGUAACGUCAAUUGCUGCGGUUAUUAACCACAACACCUUCCUCCCCGCUGAAAGUACUUUACAACCCGAAGGCCUUCUUCAUACACGCGGCAUGGCUGCAUCAGGCUUGCGCCCAUUGUGCAAUAUUCCCCACUGCUGCCUCCCGUAGGAGUCUGGACCGUGUCUCAGUUCCAGUGUGGCUGGUCAUCCUCUCAGACCAGCUAGGGAUCGUCGCCUAGGUGAGCCGUUACCCCACCUACUAGCUAAUCCCAUCUGGGCACAUCUGAUGGCAAGAGGCCCGAAGGUCCCCCUCUUUGGUCUUGCGACGUUAUGCGGUAUUAGCUACCGUUUCCAGUAGUUAUCCCCCUCCAUCAGGCAGUUUCCCAGACAUUACUCACCCGUCCGCCACUCGUCACCCGAGAGCAAGCUCUCUGUGCUACCGUUCGACUUGCAUGUGUUAGGCCUGCCGCCAGCGUUCAAU
rnacentral:rRNA from 2 species